rnacentral:rRNA from 1 species
UUGCGCAGGAUAGGUGGGAGGCAGUGAAAAUAGUCUUGCGGGACUAUUAGAGCCAACGGUGAGAUACCACUCUAGUAAAGAUAAAAUUCUAACUCUAUACCGUUAUCCGGAUAGAGAACAGUUUCAAGUGGGCAGUUUGACUGGGGCGGUCGCCUCCUAAAAGGUAACGGAGGCGUGCAAAGGUUCCCUCAGGCUGGUUGGACAUCAGUCGAAGAGUGUAAAGGCAUAAGGGAGCUUGACUGCGAGACCCACAAGUCGAGCAGAGACGAAAGUCGGCCUUAGUGAUCCGACGGUUCCGAGUGGAAUGGCCGUCGCUCAACGGAUAAAAGUUACUCUAGGGAUAACA